rnacentral:misc_RNA from 1 species
GAGCGUCAUUUAAACCAAUCUAGCUUUAUGCUUGGGUCUUGGGCCUUUCGCCUUUCGGCGGGCCUUAAAAUCAGUGGCGGUGCCUUUUGGCUCUAAGCGUAGUAAUACUCCUCGCUAUAGAUGUUAGAUGGUAUCUUGCCAGCGACCCCUAAUUUUUAAAGGUUGACCUCGGAUCAGGUAGGGAUACCCGCUGAACUUAA